rnacentral:snRNA from 14 species
GGACUGACCCGGCAGGAGAGCACUAAGACCGUGAAGGUGGUUUGCCUGAGGCGAGCCUCAUCUCUUGCCCUCUGGCUGUGCUGACCCCUGCGCAUUCCCCAGAUGGGGGCAACUCGGUGGCAUCACUGUUCUCUGGUUGUGGGGGCAAGGCAUCCCUGUUGUUCCCUG